CACCUGAAUACAUAGGGUGUGUAGAGGCAGACCAGGGGAACUGAAACAUCUAAGUACCCUGAGGAAGAGAAAACAAUAGUGAUUCCGUCAGUAGCGGCGAGCGAACGCGGAUUAGCCCAAACCAAGGAGCUUGCUCCUUGGGGUUGUGGGACGUCUCACAUGGAGUUACAAAGGAUUAGAGUAGGCGAAGAGGUCUGGAAAGGCCCGCUAGAAGAGGUAAAAGCCCUGUAGCCAAAAUUUUAAUCCCUCCGAGACGGAUCCCGAGUAGUGCGGGGCACGUGAAACCCCGUAUGAAUCCGGCAGGACCAUCUGCCAAGGCUAAAUACUCCCUAGUGACCGAUAGUGAAGCAGUACCGUGAGGGAAAGGUGAAAAGCACCCCGGAAGGGGAGUGAAAUAGAUCCUGAAACCGUGUGCUUACAAAAAGUCAGAGCCCUCUAUAUGGGUGAUGGCGUGCCUUUUGUAGAAUGAACCGGCGAGUUACGUUCCCGUGCAAGGUUAAGGUGAGAAGCCGGAGCCGCAGCGAAAGCGAGUCUGAAUAGGGCGAAUUAUAGUACGUGGACGUAGACCCGAAACUGAGUGAUCUACCCCUGUCCAGGGUGAAGGUGCGGUAACACGCACUGGAGGCCCGAACCCACGCAUGUUGAAAAAUGCGGGGAUGAGGUGGGGGUAGCGGAGAAAUUCCAAUCGAACUCAGAGAUAGCUGGUUCUCCCCGAAAUAGCUUUAGGGCUAGCCUCGGAAUUGAGAGUCGUGGAGGUAGAGCACUGAUUGGGUGCGGGGCCCGCCAAGGGUUACCAAGCUCAGUCAAACUCCGAAUGCCAUAGACUCAUAUCCGGGAGUCAGACAGUGAGUGCUAAGAUCCAUUGUCAAAAGGGAAACAGCCCAGACCAUCAGCUAAGGUCCCCAAGUGUGUGUUAAGUGGGAAAGGAUGUGGAGUUGCACAGACAACCAGGAUGUUGGCUUAGAAGCAGCCACCAUUUAAAGAGUGCGUAAUAGCUCACUGGUCGAGUGACUCUGCGCCGAAAAUGUAACGGGGCUAAACACACCACCGAAGCUAUGGCUUGAUACGUAUGUAUCAGGGGUAGGGGAGCGUUGUAUAUACGUUGAAGGUAUACCGUAAGGAGUGCUGGAGAGUAUACAAGUGAGAAUGCCGGUAUAAGUAACGAAAAGAUCAGUGAGAAUCUGAUCCGCCGAAAGCCUAAGGGUUCCUGAGGAAGGCUCGUCCACUCAGGGUAAGUCGGGACCUAAGGCGAGGCCGAAAGGCGUAGUCGAAGGACAACAGGUAGAAAUUCCUGUACCACCGUAAUCCGUUAUGAGUAAUGGGGUGACGCAGUAGGGUAGUGACGCGGACUGAUGGAUGUGUCCGUCUAAGCAGUGAGGCUUGUGUGUAGGCAAAUCCGCACACUAUAAGGCUGGGCUGUGAUGGGGAGCGAAAAUUUAUAGUAGCGAAGGUCAUGAUCUCAGACUGCCAAGAAAAGCCUCUAACCAGGAGAAGGUGCCCGUACCGCAAACCGACACAGGUAGGCGAGAAGAGAAUUCUAAGGCGCGCGGAAGAACUCUCGUUAAGGAACUCGGCAAAAUGACCCCGUAACUUCGGGAGAAGGGGUGCCCCGGUAGUGUGAAUAGCACGAGGGGGCCGCAGUGAAAAGGCCCAAGCGACUGUUUAGCAAAAACACAGGUCUGUGCGAAGCCGUAAGGCGAAGUAUACGGGCUGACGCCUGCCCGGUGCUGGAAGGUUAAGGGGAGUGGUUAGCCGCAAGGCGAAGCUAUGAACCGAAGCCCCAGUAAACGGCGGCCGUAACUAUAACGGUCCUAAGGUAGCGAAAUUCCUUGUCAGGUAAAUUCUGACCCGCACGAAUGGCGUAACGACUUGGGCGCUGUCUCAACGAGAGAUCCGGUGAAAUUUUAAUACCUGUGAAGAUGCAGGUUACCCGCGACAAGACGGAAAGACCCCAUGGAGCUUUACUGCAGCUUGAUAUUGGACUUUGAUACGAUUUGUACAGGAUAGGUGGGAGCCUA
rnacentral:rRNA from 1 species